rnacentral:rRNA from 1 species
CCCUUAGAUGUUCUGGGCCGCACGCGCGCUACACUGGUACAUGUAACGAGUACUCUGACCAUAGCCGAUUGGCUUUGGUAAUCUGUUGAAUUUGUGCCGUGAUGGGGAUUGGCGAUUGCAAUUAUUCGUCAUGAACGAGGAAUUCCUAGUAAGUGCAAGUCAUUAUCUUGCAUUGAUUACGUCCCUGCCCUUUGUACACACCGCCCGUCGCUCCUACCGAUUGAAUGUUCCGGUGAACACUUCGGAGCCGAGUUGAGAGUUUGGGAAACCUAUCUUUUUUCAUACGGUAAAGAAGUGUAAACCUUAUCAUUUAGAGGAAGGAGAAGUCGUAACA